CUAGAAAGAUCCGGUUGAUCCUGCCGGAGGCUACUGCUAUCGGGGUCCGACUAAGCCAUGCGAGUUGAGAGGGGUAAGCCCUCGGCAUAUUGCUCAGUAACACGCGGAUAACCUGCCCUUGGGUUUGGGAUAACCCCGGGAAACUGGGACUAAUACCGGAUAGAUCAAAGAUACUGGAAUGUUCUUUGUUCGAAAGCUCCGGCGCCCAAGGAUGGGUCUGCGGCCUAUCAGGUAGUAGUGGGUGUAACGUACCUACUAGCCUACGACGGGUAAGGGUUGUGAGAGCAAGAGCCCUGAGAUGGAUUCUGAGACAUGAAUCCAGGCCCUACGGGGUGCAGCAGGCGCGAAAACUUUACACUGCGGGAAACCGCGAUAAGGGGACCCCGAGUGCCAGCACCUAGUGCUGGCUGUCCAGCUGUUCAAAAAACAGUUGUUAGCAAGGGCCGGGCAAGACCGGUGCCAGCCGCCGCGGUAACACCGGCGGCCCGAGUGGUAGCCGUUAUUAUUGGGUUUAAAGGGUCCGUAGCCGGCCUAUUAAGUCUCUUGGGAAAUCUGGCGACUCAAUCGUCAGGCGUUCAAGAGAUACUGGUAGGCUUGGGACCGGGAGAGGUGGGAGGUACUCCAGGGGUAGGGGUGAAAUCUCGUAAUCCUUGGGGGACCACCGAUGGCGAAGGCAUCCCACCAGAACGGGUCCGACGGUGAGGGACGAAAGCUGGGGGCACGAACCGGAUUAAAUACCCGGGUAGUCCCAGCUGUAAACGAUGCUCGCUAGGUGUCAGGUGCGGUGCGACCGCAUCUGGUGCCGUAGUGAAAACUUGAAGCGAGUCACCUGGGAAGUACGGUCGCAAGGCUGAAACUUAAAGGA
rnacentral:rRNA from 1 species